GAAAGACGGUUUCGGCUGUCGCUAUAGGAUGGGCCCGCGGCGCAUUAGCUAGUUGGUGAGGUAACGGCUCACCAAGGCGACGAUGCGUAGCCGACUUGAGAGGGUGAUCGGCCACACUGGGACUGAGACACGGCCCAGACUCCUACGGGAGGCAGCAGUAGGGAAUCUUCCACAAUGGGCGAAAGCCUGAUGGAGCAACGCCGCGUGAGUGAAGAAGGUUUUCGGAUCGUAAAACUCUGUUGUAAGGGAAGAACAAG
rnacentral:rRNA from 1 species